UACGUAGGGUGCAGGCGUUAAUCGGAAUUACUGGGCGUAAAGCGUGCGCAGGCGGUUUCUUAAGUCAGAUGUGAAAGCCCCGGGCUUAACCUGGGAACUGCGUUUGAAACUGGGAGACUUGAGUGUGGCAGAGGGGGGUGGAAUUCCACGUGUAGCAGUGAAAUGCGUAGAUAUGUGGAGGAACACCGAUGGCGAAGGCAGCCCCCUGGGUUAACACUGACGCUCAUGCAGGAAAGCGUGGGGAGCAAACAGG
rnacentral:rRNA from 1 species